rnacentral:rRNA from 1 species
CGCCUGUUUAUCAAAAACAUCGCCUCUUGACAAUAAUAAGAGGUCUCGCCUGCCCACUGACAAAUUUAACGGCCGCGGUACUCUGACCGUGCAAAGGUAGCGCAAUCACUUGUCCUCCAAAUAGGGACUAGAAUCAAUGGCAUCACGAAGGUCUCACUGUCUCCUUUUUCUAAUCAGUGAAACUGAUCUUCCCGUGAAGAAGCGGGAAUGACCCUAUAAGACGAGAAGACCCCAUGAAGCUUCAAAUUCAAUAGUUAACUCAUAUAAAUUACACGACAAUUAAGAGAAAUAACUAUUAAUUUUGGGUUGGGGCGACCACGGAGAAUAACACAACCUCCAUAAUGAAAAGAAUAUGUAUUCUUAUCUGUGAGCAACAUCUCUAAGAAUUAAUAAAUUAACAUACAUGAUCCGAUAUAGCUAUUCGAUCAAUGAACCAAGUUACUCUGGGGAUAACAGCGCCAUCCACUUUGAGAGUUCAUAUCAACAAGUGGGUUUACGACCUCGAUGUUGGAUCAGGGUAUCCUAGUGGUGCAGCCGCUACUAAAGGUUCGUUUGUUCAACGAUUAAAACCCUACGUGAUC